AAAUGGAGCCCAUUUAAUUCUUAUAGUAACUGCUCCUCUCUCUCCCCUCUCUCCCCCCAUCCCUCCCUCCUUCCCUCUCUCCCUCUCCAGGUUCAGGAGGCUGGGUAAGUUACACAGAGGAUCUGUCUAGCAUCUCAAUGUCACCAACUCCUAAAAGUGCAUUUGGCCCUGGUUGUUCUGAUCCGUCCAUUCCCCUUGAUGAGCUCAUGGAGUCUUUGGGAUGGGGGCUGUAGAUAUGUUGAUAUGUUGACAUAUCAACCUGGCCAGCCUCCGGUGCCCACAGACUCUCGUCAGAUGUCAGUAUGUCAACCUGGCCAGCCUCCGGUGCCCACAGACUCGUCAGAUGUCAGUACAGAUGUUGUUACAAAGAAAGCUCCAUGCCCCAUGUCUGGUGGCUUCUUGACCGUCCCCAGAAGUUCUGUGGCCAUGGAGGACACCCUGGAGAAGGGCAAAGGCUGCAGACUCCCAAGUGCACAGCAGGGCCUCUUCACAGGCAGGCAGCCUUGUUACUGAGGGGACUAGGAGGAACUCUGAAACCCCAGUGCGCAGAUCCCCUCCAGGAAGAGGAGUUUCCUUUGAGCUGAAGAAAGCCUGGCUCACUCUCACUCAGGACCGGGCUUCACAAUGCCAUCAUUGCAUCAUUUUCACGUCACCCGCACAAGAAUUCCAGAAGCUGAGCCUCAGAGUCAUCCAGAACAUGUUGGUCACGUUUGUGACAGGUGUGAUUCGAGUUCAAGUUACCCACGGCUACACUCCCAUGGCACUGUAGCCAGCUAACCGCGGCAGCAUCAACGUGGGCUGAACAGUGAGAAACAACACUCACUUUCCAUUUUCUGUCCUCUUCCUCAUUUUCCUCACCUACCGUCUCUUUCCAGAUUCAUAAAGUGGUUGGUUUUAGAACUACAGAGAUGGCAAAGCA